CAAGGGCCGUGGCAGACGGUUGAGUAACACGUGGGAACAUACCCUUCGGUUCGGAACAACGCCGGGAAACUGGCGCUAAUACCGGAUACGCCCUUUGGGGGAAAGGCUUGUACGCCGAAGGAGUGGCCCGCGUUCGAUUAGCUUGAUGGCGGGGUAACGGCCCACCAUGGCGACGAUCGAUAGCUGGUCUGAGAGGAUGGCCAGCCACAUUGGGACUGAGACACGGCCCAAACUCCUACGGGAGGCAGCAGUGGGAAUAUUGGACAAUGGGCGCAAGCCUGAUCCAGCCAUGCCGCGUGAGUGAUGACGGCCUUAGGGUUGUAAAGCUCUUUCGCACGCGACGAUAAUGACGGUAGCGUGAGAAGAAGCCCCGGCUAACUUCGUGCCAGCAGCCGCGGUAAU
rnacentral:rRNA from 1 species